CGAUGGUUGCGAUGACGGUUGCUCAGACGGCUGUAAGCUAGGUUGCGAUGAAGGCUGGCCGGUCGGUAUUGCGGAAGGCUGAGACGAAGGCUGACGCGAUGGCUGAACAGAAGGCUG
rnacentral:ribozyme from 1 species